CAUUUAUUCAUCAUGUAUUAUGACGUUGAAGUAAUGUAUGUGGUAUGACAUUCUGCCUUGGCAGUUUACUUUCAUGAUGUUUCUUUUUCAUUGUAGUGUAAUAUAGGUUACCUCUGGAUUUGGAGGUUUCGUCUCUAGAUGUGCCUGUCACAAGAUGGAUUCGUUUGGUUUCAUGCUCUCCUGCUGGACCUCAUCAAAGGGAUUUUAUACUGCUGUUAUUUUAUUCUGAUUGGUUGUUUGGAAAAGUUAUGUUAACUAUUUCUUUGCUGCUGGAAGUUUCAGUAAAGAAGGUAAAGCAAAUAUUCGCCUCCUGUCAAUUUAAAUUAUUCCCUCACCGAGGCUAGAAUAAUCCCUAAUUUGUGC